rnacentral:rRNA from 1 species
UGGGGAAUAUUGGACAAUGGGCGAAAGCCUGAUCCAGCCAUGCCGCGUGUGUGAAGAAGGCCUUCGGGUUGUAAAGCUCUUUUACCAGGGACGAUAAUGACGGUACCUGGAGAAUAAGCCCCGGCAAACUUCGUGCCAGCAGCCGCGGUAAUACGGAGGGUGCAAGCGUUAUCCGGAUUCACUGGGUUUAAAGGGUGCGUAGGCGGGCAGGUAAGUCAGUGGUGAAAUCCUAGAGCUUAACUCUAGAACUGCCAUUGAUACUAUCUGUCUUGAAUAUUGUGGAGGUAAGCGGAAUAUGUCAUGUAGCGGUGAAAUGCUUAGAUAUGACAUAGAACACCUAUUGCGAAGGCAGCUUACUACGCAUAUAUUGACGCUGAGGCACGAAAGCGUGGGGAUCAAACAGGAUUAGAUACCCCUGUAGUCCCUGAGCGGGCUGGCAAGGCGCAU